CGUGUAGGCGGUUGGUCAAGUCUGGUGUGAAAGCCCGGGGCUCAGCUCCGGAAGUGCAUCGGAAACUAGCCGACUGGAGCGCGAUAGAGGAGGGUGGAAUUCCUGGUGUAGCGGUGAAAUGCGUAGAUAUCAGGAGGAACACCGGCGGCGAAGGCGGCCCUCUGGAUCGUUGCUGACGCUGAGACGCGAAAGCGUGGGGAGCAAACAGGAUUAGAUACCCUGGUAGUCCACGCUGUAAACUAUGGGUACUAGGUGUUCGGGGUGUUGACCCCCUGAGUGCCGCAGCUAACGCAUUAAGUACCCCGCCUGGGGACUACGGCCGCAAGGUUAA
rnacentral:rRNA from 1 species